rnacentral:rRNA from 1 species
AUUGAACGCUGGCGGCAUGCCUUACACAUGCAAGUCGAACGGUAACGCGGGGCAACCUGGCGACGAGUGGCGAACGGGUGAGUAAUGCAUCGGAACGUGCCCAGUAGUGGGGGAUAGCCCGGCGAAAGCCGGAUUAAUACCGCAUACGACCUAUGGGUGAAAGCGGGGGACCGUAAGGCCUCGCGCUAUUGGAGCGGCCGAUGUCAGAUUAGGUUGUUGGUGGGGUAAAAGCCCACCAAGCCGACGAUCUGUAGCUGGUCUGAGAGGACGACCAGCCACACUGGGACUGAGACACGGCCCAGACUCCUACGGGAGGCAGCAGUGGGGAAUUUUGGACAAUGGGCGCAAGCCUGAUCCAGCCAUGCCGCGUGCGGGAAGAAGG